CUCAGUAAGCAUUCCUGAAAUGUAAUCAGAAUGAUUUGGGUUGGAAGGGACCUGUAAGAUCAUCUAGUUCCAACACCCUGCUAUAGGCAGGGACGCCUGCCUCUAGACCAGGUUGCUCAAAGGUAAUGUGGAAAGGACAUUAGUGUUCUUGUUACCUAGCAGUAGCAAAUAAAAAAAGCCUAAAUCAAGUGCAUCUGAAAUCUGGAAAGGUUUAUCUGGAGCAGAAAGCAAAGGUGCAUGAUAACAUUUUAAAUCAGCAUCUUAGGGUGACUGAUUAAGCCUACUUCUCUGACAAAAGCUGUGUCUUGGGGCACUGACCUGUGACCUCUCCAGGUGGCCUGGCCUCGCUGUGUGCUCAUUAGCUCCACAGGCUCAUUAGCUGCAGCUGGGAGCCAUCCCCUCCCAUCUGCCCAGCCUGCAGACUUCUUCAGGGUGCCCUGUGCAUCCCACAUCCUCCUCAGACACCCUCAUGGGAAGCCUGAACUGCCCCACAGCUCCCACAUCCCCUUCCCAGUGGGGAGCCCCUCUCCCAGCCCCUGAGAAUCCCCUGCCAUUGAGGUGCCUCUGGAGCAUCUCUCUGCCUGGCACACCUAGAGCUGUGAGAGGUGGGAGGACACCUGGCUGAGGGAGGCCAGAUCGUGUUAAUCAGCCUCGUUUGUUGUGACCAGCCUCACCUGGCACUUCCCCACACCCAGAGACUCAGGAGUCAAUUUGAGCUCAAGCCACAGAUUCUGCUAUGCUGUACACUGUUGCUCCUCUCUAAAUUGGGCUUCAGUGCAUUGCUUUUGGGGAUGAAUGAAUUCCGCAGAAGUGGUGGAGCUCCUUGUGUUUCACUGGCUGCAAUGGAACUGGUGCUGCUGUCUCCAAGCUAUUGAAGCUGCUGGAUGUUUUUUCUUCAGACUUGUGAAAAAGAUAUGCCGAAAGCCAGGUUCUUUGCUGUGUUGUGACUUACAUAAACCACUGCUUUCUACCCUGUACAAGCUUUUUAUCAGCUGGAGAUCCUGUGAGUCAACAUUUCAUUCUUCAAGAAUACCCAUUAAUUACUUUGUCAUUCUAGAUGUUAUUAUAAAACUUAUGUUUUUGUAGAUAAGCACAAGAGGGUUUGCAGGCACAGUAGUGGUGCAAAGUGUAACUUGCAUCAAGAGAUUUGUGUUAUCAGUUCCCUAACUUAUUUUGAUAUCAAGUAGGGAGGUUGCAAGGAUGCAUGGAGCAUGGAAAAAACUAACUGUGAAAGAUGAGAGUAACCAGCAAGGCUGCAGUACAACUAAAGGAGAGUCAUAUGGGUGUGAUGGAAAUCAAAUAUUAAUCAAAUAUUAAGACAAAACCAUAACUAUUUCUGAUAAAAUAGAUGCUGUCCGCUUGUAAGGGUAUGAUUUGGUCAAGAAUGGUUUUGAAAAUGGGGACUGUGCCUUGGUACAUUCUGAAGAUCCUUUCAGACUUGUUUUCUAUGUUUUUCAAUGUUGUGUUUAACGAUCUCUCUGAAGUUGAUGUGAAGUCUUUUGUCCUACAGUUGCACACUCAUAAGAUGCUCUUGGCAUGACUAGAAAGCAAACCAAACAGGCUUUGUUCAUUCCUACAAC
rnacentral:lncRNA from 1 species